rnacentral:rRNA from 1 species
GAUGAACGCUAGCGGCAGGCUUAACACAUGCAAGUCGAGGGGCAUCGGGAGGGAAGCUUGCUUUCCUUGCCGGCGACCGGCGCACGGGUGAGUAACACGUAUGCAACCUGCCCUCUUCAGGGGGACAACCUUCCGAAAGGGAGGCUAAUCCCGCGUAUAUCGGUUUCGGGCAUCCGAGAUCGAGGAAAGAUUCAUCGGAAGAGGAUGGGCAUGCGGCGCAUUAGCUUGACGGCGGGGUAACGGCCCACCGUGGCGACGAUGCGUAGGGGUUCUGAGAGGAAGGUCCCCCACACUGGUACUGAGACACGGACCAGACUCCUACGGGAGGCAGCAGUGAGGAAUAUUGGUCAAUGGGAGAGAUCCUGAACCAGCCAAGCCGCGUGAGGGAAGACGGCCCUAUGGGUUGUAAACCUCUUUUGUCGGAGAACAAAACCCGGGACGUGUCCCGGACUGCGUGUAUCCGAAGAAAAAGCAUCGGCUAACUCCGUGCCAGCAGCCGCGGUAAUACGGAGGAUGCGAGCGUUAUCCGGAUUUAUUGGGUUUAAAGGGUGCGUAGGCGGUCCGUUAAGUCAGCGGUAAAAUUGCGGGGCUCAACCCCGUCGAGCCGUUGAAACUGGCAGACUUGAGUUGGCGAGAAGUACGCGGAAUGCGCGGUGUAGCGGUGAAAUGCAUAGAUAUCGCGCAGAACUCCGAUUGCGAAGGCAGCGUACCGGCGCCAGACUGACGCUGAGGCACGAAAGCGUGGGGAUCGAACAGGAUUAGAUACCCUGGUAGUCCACGCAGUAAACGAUGAAUGCUGGUUGUCCGGGUCGAAUGAGAUCUGGGCGGCGAAGCGAAAGCGAUAAGCAUUCCACCUGGGGAGUACGCCGGCAACGGUGAAACUCAAAGGAAUUGACGGGGGCCCGCACAAGCGGAGGAACAUGUGGUUUAAUUCGAUGAUACGCGAGGAACCUUACCCGGGCUCAAACGGGAGUGGAAUGGACCAGAGACGGUUCAGCCUACGGGCCGCUUCCGAGGUGCUGCAUGGUUGUCGUCAGCUCGUGCCGUGAGGUGUCGGCUUAAGUGCCAUAACGAGCGCAACCCCCGCCGGCAGUUGCUAACGGGCAAUGCCGAGGACUCUGCCGGGACUGCCGCCGCAAGGCGAGAGGAAGGCGGGGAUGACGUCAAAUCAGCACGGCCCUUACGUCCGGGGCGACACACGUGUUACAAUGGGCGGUACAGCGGGAAGCCAGGCGGCGACGCCGAGCGGAACCCGAAAGCCGUUCUCAGUUCGGAUCGGAGUCUGCAACCCGACUCCGUGAAGCUGGAUUCGCUAGUAAUCGCGCAUCAGCCAUGGCGCGGUGAAUACGUUCCCGGGCCU